AUUGAUUUGACAGACUAGUGUAUUAAAUUUAGAAUUUAAAUAUGUAAUUAACUUUACAUUCAAUA
rnacentral:tRNA from 1 species